GCCUGGGUGGCUCAGUUGGUUAAGCAUCUGACUCUUGGUUUCAGCUCAGGUCAUGAUCUCAGUGGGUCUCUUUCAGCUCAGGUCAUGAUCUCUUGUGGGUUCGAGUCCCACAUUGGGCU
rnacentral:tRNA from 1 species